GGGAGAUUCUUAACAUCUACAUUUCUUCGAAGUAAUUGUUUUAAUAAUACCGUAAUUUUUUUUUUUUUUUUUUUGCAGCGCUGAGAACUGACCCCAGAGCCUCAGGCAGACAAUAGAAGGAAAUGGAAGAUUGGCUCUGAAAGGUUAAUUUACUUCUCUAAAGUCACAGUGUUGGAGCGGCUAUACCAAGGAUUUUUCGAAGCUCGACAGUCAAGCGCUCACCGAGCCCACUGACACUAAAUGGCAGGGUAAUACUUUUUAAUCUGUCCCCCAACCCUUGACUCCUAUACGGCCUCUUCUUGCUUUGUCUCUUACAUGCUUUUCCCUUUGUCUUCACCCUCGAC
rnacentral:lncRNA from 1 species